AACGAACGCUGGCGGCAUGCCUAACACAUGCAAGUCGAACGAUUGCCUUCGGGUGAUAGUGGCGCACGGGUGCGUAACGCGGGGGAAUCUGCCCGUAGGUCCGGAAUAACAGCUGGAAACGGCUGCUAAUACCGGAUGAUAUCGCGAGAUCAAAGAUUUAUCGCCUGAGGAUGUGCCCGCGUGUGAUUAGGUAGUUGGUUGGGUAAUGGCCUACCAAGCCGACGAUCCAUAGCUGGUCUGGGAGGGUGCUCAGCCACACUGGGGCUGGGACACGGCCCCGUCUCCUACGCGAGGCUGCAGUAGGGUAUAUUGGACGCUGAGCGCAAGCCUGGUCCAGCCAUGCCGCGUGAGUGGUGAAGGCCCUAGGGUUGUAAAGCUCUUUUACCCGGGAAGUUAGUGACUGUACCGGGAGAAUAAGCCCCGGCUAACUCCGUG
rnacentral:rRNA from 1 species